rnacentral:rRNA from 1 species
UACGUAGGGUGCAAGCGUUGUCCGGAAUUAUUGGGCGUAAAGAGCGUGUAGGCGGCCCGAUUAGUCCGCUGUGAAAGUCCAGGGCUCAACCCUGGAAUGCCGGUGGAUACUGUCGGGCUAGAGUCCGGAAGGGGCGAGUGGAAUUCCUGGUGUAGCGGUGAAAUGCGCAGAUAUCGGGAAGAACACCCGUGGCGAAGGCGGCUCUCUGGGACGGUACUGACGCUGAGACGCGAAAGCGUGGGGAGCGAACAGG